rnacentral:rRNA from 1 species
CCUACGGGAGGCAGCAGUGGGGGAUAUUGCACAAUGGGGGGAACCCUGAUGCAGCGACGCCGCGUGGGUGAAGAAGCGCCUCGGCGCGUAAAGCCCUGUCAGCAGGGAAGAAAAUGAUGGUACCUGAAGAAGAAGCCCCGGCUAACUACGUGCCAGCAGCCGCGGGAAUACGUCGGGGGCAAGCGUUAUCCGGAUUUACUGGGUGUAAAGGGGGCGCAGACGGCGAUGCAAGCCAGGAGUGAAAGCCCGGGGCCCAACCCCGGGACUGCUCUUGGAACUGCGUGGCUGGAGUGCAGGAGGGGCAGGCGGAAUUCCUGGUGUAGCGGUGAAAUGCGUAGAGAUCAGGAGGAAGACCGGUGGCGAAGGUGGCCUGCUGGACUGCAACUGACGUUGAGGCCCGAAAGCGUGGGGAGCAAACAGGAUUAGAUACCCUGGUAGUC